GAAACUUUUAGAGUACAAAAGUAUGCAAGCACACUUUCUGUUUAUUGUCAACACAAUGAUAUAAUUUGUAGUUAUUAAAAAGGAAUUGUUAUGACCUUGCAGACCCCUACAGUGAUCUCAUGGAUCCCCAGGAGUCUCCAGAUACAUUUUGAACAUCGGUCAUCAAGUCCAAACUUCUCAUUCUUUUGGGUACAUAUUCUUAUCAGAGAAUACUUGAGCCUGACUCCAGCUCCUUCUCUACUUUCAUACAGGUGAUUUUGUUUUGUUUCAUUUCUGCCUACUAAUUUACUUAGCUCAAGAAUACUGAAUUCCAGUUUCACUUAUGUAUUCCAGUUCUCUCUUCUGAAUAUCCACUAUUCCGUUAAAGCUCUGUAUCUGCAUAAGGUUCUUCCCACUUGCAAGAAACACCAUUUUUUGGAAACAUAAAGACUGUAUUAUAAGAAUUUCUUCUCUGAAAACAGAACAGAUUGGACGUUUGGAAUAAAUUUCUGGUAUAGAACAUACAUAAAUGCCAGGUAAAAUAUUAAAAGGAGCUUAAAAAAAAUAAGUGAGCAGGAUGAAAAUAAAGAAUAUAAUGGGAAGCAGGCAAUGACAAGAAAGUGCUAAAGCAGAGAAGUAAAGAAGGUAAAGAAUAGCACGUGUACUGUGAGAGAAUGUGCUCAUGCUUGGACUCUUUAGGUUUUAAUGGGUUUGUUUCUGAAUCAUAAGAACCAAAGGCCUGUGCCUACUUUAGACCCACCAGAACGAAGCCUUUAAAAAAGCUUGAUAAGAUUAACAAGACAGACAUAAUUUGAAAGUUGGAUUCCACUAAGUUAGACGGACUUGGGGAAGACCUUGACCUUUUUCCAAAUUCAGUUUCACAAGGUCAUAAAACCAAGUCUUUGCAAGUACAAGGUGAUCCAUUUUAGGUAAAAUUUCUACUAAUAUUGAAUCAGAGUUUUUAUAUUAGAUAUUGAAUCGUAUAAUUCAAAUAUCUAAUGUUUUCAAUAAAGAAUCAAUAAAUAGGCCGGGCGCGGUGGCUCAAGCCUGUAAUCCCAGCACUUUGGGAGGCCGAGGCGGGCGGAUCACAAGGUCAGGAGAUCGAGACCACAGUGAAACCCCGUCUCUACUAAAAAUACAAAAAAUUAGCCGGGCGCGGUGGCGGGCGCCUGUAGUCCUAGCUACUCAGGAGGCUGAGGCAGGAGAAUGGCGUGAACCCAGGAGGCGGAGCUUACAGUGAGCCGAGAUCGCGCCACUGCACUCCAGCCUGGGCAACAGCGUGAGACUCCGUCUCAAAAAAAAAAAAAAAAAAAAAAAAGAAUCAAUAAAUACAUAAAGGGACUGAAAAACAAUCAAUUAAAACCAAAUCCAAGAUGGCACAGAUGUUUAACUUAG
rnacentral:lncRNA from 1 species